CACGUAGGGUGCGAGCGUUGUCCGGAAUUAUUGGGCGUAAAGAGCUCGUAGGCGGUUUGUCGCGUCGGCCGUGAAAUCUCCACGCUUAACGUGGAGCGUGCGGUCGAUACGGGCAGACUUGAGUUCGGUAGGGGAGACUGGAAUUCCUGGUGUAGCGGUGAAAUGCGCAGAUAUCAGGAGGAACACCUAUAGCGAAGGCAGCUUGCUGGGACGAUACUGACGCUAAGGCUCGAAAGCGUGGGGAGCGAACAGG
rnacentral:rRNA from 1 species